AUUGAACGCUGGCGGCAUGCUUUACACAUGCAAGUCGAACGGCAGCGCGGGCUUCGGCCUGGCGGCGAGUGGCGAACGGGUGAGUAAUACAUCGGAACGUGCCCAGUAGUGGGGGAUAGCUCGGCGAAAGCCGGAUUAAUACCGCAUACGACCUGAGGGUGAAGGCGGGGGAUCUUCGGACCUCGCGCUAUUGGAGCGGCCGAUGGCAGAUUAGCUAGUUGGUGGGGUAAAGGCCUACCAAGGCGACGAUCUGUAGCUGGUCUGAGAGGACGACCAGCCACACUGGAACUGAGACACGGCCCAGACUCCUACGGGAGGCAGCAGUGGGGAAUGUUCGGCAAUGGGCGAAAGCCUGAUCCAGCAAUGCCGCGUGUGUGAUGAAGGCCUUCGGGUUGUAAAGCACUUUUGGCGGGAACGAAAAGGACUGUGCCAAUACCACGGUUCGAUGACGGUACCCGCAGAAUAAGCACCGGCUAACUACGUG
rnacentral:rRNA from 1 species